GCAAGUCGUACGAGAAAGCUUCUUCGGAUGUGAGUAGAGUGGCGCACGGGUGAGUAACGCGUAGGUGACCUACCUAUUUGUGGGGGAUAACUCCGGGACACCGGGGCUAAUACCGCAUUCGUACAGUAAUUUUGAAAGUAACUGUAGAAAGAUGACCUCUCCUUGGAAGUUAUCGCAGAUAGAUGGGCUUGCGUACCAUUAGCUUGUUGGUAAGGUAACGGCUUACCAAGGCCAUGAUGGUUAGCUGGUCUGAGAGGAUGAUC
rnacentral:rRNA from 1 species